GCCUCCAGCUAAGCAUAAGUGAAAGUUCUGUACAUGACUUAAAAUCAGCAUCUGAGCUAUCAGAUUCCUCAUGAGCUUUAACAGUCAUAGAGGUUUCAUGUUUUUCUGACUUUUGAGUACUAUCUUAUAAUUGAUAGCAUCCACAUAUAACUGAAACAUUUGAGAUCCAACAUUCUAUUAAUAAUUUUGCAUGUUAAAUAUCUUCUCACACAAACAUCAGGAUGUAUAGCUUAUGUGUUCACACUUACUAAAAGACUUGAUUACAAACAGAUGGCCCUUUAAAAGUUUCGGGGAAUUGCUAAAAUAAGUGACAAUGCUGGUAGAGAGUAGUUUUCCUUCUGUUGAUGAUAGAGGUAGCACAUUAAGGUUCUCAAACACCUGCUGUUUGUGUUACAGUUUUCAAAAUAGCUGAGAAAACGAGCAAAAUUCUCAUUUUAUGUUUUCAUUAUGAGUAGUCCUUUACAAAAUAUAAUUUGAUAUAAUUUUAAUUAGCAUACUAAGUGAAGUUUCCCAGCAAGUUUCAAUUGUUACAGCAAUUACAAAUAUGGGGCGUAAUUUUUAUAUAUAUAUAUAUUUCAGUUUACAACUGAAAGAUUCUUUUUUGUCAGUAUUAUGCCAAGCAUAUUUUCCUCUGAACUUCUCUUUCCUUUUUAUUCUGAUCAAUUUACUGAUUCACAAGGAAUUUAGGAGGUGCAACUCACUUUUUAUCCUUAACCUGGGUGCAGUUAUAAAUUCAACUGUUUGUUUUCUCUGGGAUCUUUUCCCACAGUAUAAUGCUAACCUGUCAUGCAGUCAAGUGUCUUAAUCACUAAUAUUCAUCAUGUGAUUGCAAGUCUUCACAAAUUCUUCUAGAGUUCAUAUUUUUCCAUGCUACAGGGAGCUACUGACAUGUGAAAAGUGGCAUUCCAAAACCACUCUCUCAAAAUAACCAUUUAGGCCACACUUCAGUCAGAUCAUACUGGACACCAAAAAAGUCUGGCUUGGGACACAGGCUGGAAAGUGUCCUAACAGAAAAGGACCCUGGGGAUGAUGCUUAACAGCAGGUGAACACGAACCAGUUGUGGCCAAGACCAACAGUAUCUUGCCUUUAUCAGCAACAGUGUGGCAGGAGAAGCAGGGCAAAAGAGUCUUUCCCCUGUGUUGGGUACUUCUGAGGUCUGACCUUGAAUCCUGUGUUCAGUUUUGGGCUCCUUGUGACAACAAAGACAUUGAAGGGCUGGAGCCUCUCCAGAGAAGCGUGACAGAGCUGGUGAAGUGUCUGAAGAACAAGUUUGAUGAGGAGCACCUGAGGAAGUUGGGAGUGAUCAGCUGGGAGAAAAGAAGGCCUAGCAGGGACCAUAUUGCUUUCUACAACUACCUAGAAGGAUGUUGUAAGCCAGGAAACAAUAUUUAAAACCGCAUGUUCACCACAACGGAAAAGGAAGAGGAAAGAUCACUUAGGGAAAGUGAAGUGAAAAAAACACAGAUAAAUGUUAGAGGAGUGAUUACUUCUCCACAAAAAGGAGCUAAUAAUCUUUAACCUCAAAUUCCCUUCCUGUGUUUCUCUUCUUCCAUCACUGGGAAGAUAGAUGACAAUGAUAAAGUGUUCUGCAUUAUUGUCUGCUAUAUUGUGCUCAGAUGCUUGAUUAGUUUUGCUUUUCACCUAAUGUUCACUUAAAAUAAAGAUAGAAUUGAGUUAAAACUUGUGUUUAAGAGGUCAAAGACCAGAACUUUCCUUACUAAUUACUCAGUCCAUUGUUUUUCUAUCACUGGAGCAGUGCACAGCCUGCAGUACUUGGUUACAGUAUUUUUAGACAAUGUCUGUAGAAAGCACAACCCUACAAAAAGGUUAUGGGCUCUCAGUCAGCAGAACAACAUCACAUUUUUGAGGGCCUCUCAGUCAGCGGAACAACAUUACAUUUUUGAGGGCCUCUCAGUCAGCAGAACAACAUCACAUUUUUGAGGGCCAUUGCUAAAGUCUAGCAUAGACUGAUAUUUCCAAUUGUAAUAGUAUCUAACAAAUAUUAGAAUGGCACCACGUAUUGGAAGAAAAGUAUAAAAUUGGCAGCAUUUUCUAAAAAAACCCCAAACAAACAAAACAGAUAACCUUUUUAUGAAUCAAUGCAAACAAUGUGACCAACCCUCUGAAGGGUGCAUUUCAGAAAGUUUGCAUAUUUGUUCUGUUCUACUAUAAGGUUGCACAAGAAACCUCAUUAGAAAUAUUUUUCAUAUUUCCUUCUGUAAA